UUGUGAGGUUAAGCGACUAAGCGUACACGGUGGAUGCCCUGGCAGUCAGAGGCGAUGAAGGACGUGCUAAUCUGCGAUAAGCGUCGGUGAGGUGAUAUGAACCGUUAUAACCGGCGAUUUCCGAAUGGGGAAACCCAGUGUGUUUCGACACACUAUCAUUAACUGAAUCCAUAGGUUAAUGAGGCGAACCGGGGGAACUGAAACAUCUAAGUACCCCGAGGAAAAGAAAUCAACCGAGAUUCCCCCAGUAGCGGCGAGCGAACGGGGAGGAGCCCAGAGCCUGAAUCAGUGUGUGUGUUAGUGGAAGCGUCUGGAAAGGCGCGCGAUACAGGGUGACAGCCCCGUACACAAAAAUGCACAUAUUGUGAGCUCGAUGAGUAGGGCGGGACACGUGGUAUCCUGUCUGAAUAUGGGGGGACCAUCCUCCAAGGCUAAAUACUCCUGACUGACCGAUAGUGAACCAGUACCGUGAGGGAAAGGCGAAAAGAACCCCGGCGAGGGGAGUGAAAAAGAACCUGAAACCGUGUACGUACAAGCAGUGGGAGCCUCUUAAUGGGGUGACUGCGUACCUUUUGUAUAAUGGGUCAGCGACUUAUAUUCUGUAGCAAGGUUAACCGAAUAGGGGAGCCGAAGGGAAACCGAGUCUUAACUGGGCGUUAAGUUGCAGGGUAUAGACCCGAAACCCGGUGAUCUAGCCAUGGGCAGGUUGAAGGUUGGGUAACACUAACUGGAGGACCGAACCGACUAAUGUUGAAAAAUUAGCGGAUGACUUGUGGCUGGGGGUGAAAGGCCAAUCAAACCGGGAGAUAGCUGGUUCUCCCCGAAAGCUAUUUAGGUAGCGCCUCGUGAAUUCAUCUCCGGGGGUAGAGCACUGUUUCGGCAAGGGGGUCAUCCCGACUUACCAACCCGAUGCAAACUGCGAAUACCGGAGAAUGUUAUCACGGGAGACACACGGCGGGUGCUAACGUCCGUCGUGAAGAGGGAAACAACCCAGACCGCCAGCUAAGGUCCCAAAGUCAUGGUUAAGUGGGAAACGAUGUGGGAAGGCCCAGACAGCCAGGAUGUUGGCUUAGAAGCAGCCAUCAUUUAAAGAAAGCGUAAUAGCUCACUGGUCGAGUCGGCCUGCGCGGAAGAUGUAACGGGGCUAAACCAUGCACCGAAGCUGCGGCAGCGACGCUUAUGCGUUGUUGGGUAGGGGAGCGUUCUGUAAGCCUGUGAAGGUGUGCUGUGAGGCAUGCUGGAGGUAUCAGAAGUGCGAAUGCUGACAUAAGUAACGAUAAAGCGGGUGAAAA
rnacentral:rRNA from 1 species